UUUGCAUAAAAGAAAGCCUAUAUGUUUUAGCAUUGGUCACAAUGUGGUUAUGACUGAGAAUAAAAACAACUAUUCAUCAGUCUUAUAUUCUAGGAGUUCUACUCCAUAUAUUAGGACACUGUACUGUUGGUCUUCACGAAAAUGAUCGUGAAUUGCGUAUGACACACGCUUGUGCAUACUGAUAAGCUAACUAGAAGAUAUGGAGCGAAUAGGAAUAAGAAACGAGUUGAAAAAACCAAGGUCGUUCCUUAGCUGAAAUCAAAUAGUACUACUACCGACAAACUAAAAGACAAACGCAGAAAUCAAUCGAUAAACGUACACAUCGUAAUGCUUCCGCGAGAAAAUAUCGAACAAUGCUAUAUCUGGAAGCAAAAAAUUGAAGCAAGCGUGUUUACUAAGGCGGCGACAAGCUACAAACGAUUGCAUCAUGUAUAUGUGUGCUCGAGCAGAGAGGGACAAAAUUUUAUUCAAAUAUUAGAUGAUAACUCGCUGCUUUUACUUGUUCAACGUGGGAUGACAGUUUCGCUAUGCAAUUCAGAUUAGUUUUUAUUGGAGCAAAUAACGAAUUGUUUAUUUUUCUUUACAUGGGAGUUUUGUUUAUUCCUGGUCUCGAGAAGAGAGUAAAAUCGUCGCUUAGAUUUUGUAAGGCUUGCGCAAAAAAAAAAGAUUGAGAAACAAGGGGUGGGGAAUAAGUAGAGCUACAUUCGAGACCAAUGGCGUGAAUGGUCUCCCACUCCGAACACGCUUAGUACGAACGAGCAAUAGAAGUUCUCCAUGAGAUCUUCAUGGCUGUCAGUCGUGGUCGGUGCGUUUGGGCUUCCACAUUCCCGCUGGAAGCUUUCACGGGGUCUUCCAGACUUUCGUGCACGGUCCUCGAGUAGACGAGUCGUUAUUUGCCAUCGUUAAGUUCAGAGAACGGAAUGAGCCAGACAUUGCUAUUCCAAGGAAUUAAAGAACUACAUUUUUGGACGAUUCAUGUGAAAGAGCAAAUGUCUAUCGAACACAGUCUAAUUUAUACAUCACGAGCUGCUAUAGUGUAUUUCCUAGUGUUCUUAGUGAACGACUUGAUGAAAGGAACGAGUUCGUGAUUGACUGUCGAUGUUUGUGUUGAUUUAGUUACGUUGGCUCGCCAGCAACGCGGAAGGAUUCCUCUGUAAACGCGCCACGACGCAGUGGCACGAGGAUUGAAGGUGUUUCGCAGAAGUCGUAGCUCGGCGAGAUCGCUUAAUUAAAAUGCCCUCAGUAGGCAAUUGCCAUUAUUCUCUGUGAAGUAUUCUGACGUUGGAAAGCUGUUCAGAGCCUCGACUAACGGGUCUUUCCUUAAAUUGUUCGUUGGCGCAAAGUCUUAUCAAAUCUACAAACCGUUGAUAGGAACGUAAUUCUAGUCUGAAUAUUCAAGACUUUAAAAAUUUAAAUUACAAACUAUGAGCUUAAAGUAUUAUACAUAUAAUGGUACCGUAAUAUUAUUAUCUGAAAUAAUAAUGCUUGUACUAUCUACAGUUCCAGAUAAAACGGCUGGUGAUUCAUUAUCGGGCUCGUUCUGUCUCCAAUUAUUAUAGAAUCACCUGCUUCUUACAUACACACUCCACAUACAUUGAAAAAAUAUUUUUCCUCGCGCACAUCUUAUCUCGACUUUUGGGAUUUACGUACCUAUAAAUUGUGUUCCGUAGCAUAAAGAUAAAAAUUAGUAGUCUGUUAAAUGUAUUCAGUUAACACUUCUAUCGCGCAUUUCACGCGUCCACGAGACUGUGAAACUCGCGGAUUCGCUUUGACGAACAAUUAAAUUUUCAAGUCUUUCCCGAGCUGCGUUUAAAGUUGCGUUAACGACUGGAGGUAAUUUCUCCUUGAGUUUACUUCCUACUCUUGCGGGUCGAUGACCGAUCUCGAUUGCCUGUAGUAUCUAAUACACGUGAACUUCCUCAGUCUUGAAUGUUUCUUUUCCAGUAAAAAGAUUUACAGCAAUUUCGAUUGAAAUUUCGUUCUGGUUUCUUGCUAUAAUUAAUUAUCAAGAUGAAGGCAGGUCCCAAGGACAUAUUACGUAGCCGCGUGUUUGACUAUGGAAGGAAUUAAUCAUUGGUUUGGACAUUGACGAGCUUUCGCCUAAGCCUUUCAGUUUGUGUCUGCUUCCUGUUGGGAAUACGGCAUACCCGAUUUAAAUGCGUAGCGAGUAUUCUUAAAACGUUUGGACGGCCUUUAUUAUACUGUUAUGCUAAUUGUACCGGUGGAAAUGUUUUGUAGAAACGUACAGUCAGUCACAGAAGAGUACCUUACUAGAACAAUGAUUAUUUCUAUUCAGAGGAAUCUGUAUGGAUGAAUGUACAAAGUAUUUGUACACCCAUCUGACGUGACAUAAAAAGCCAAAGUAAACUAAGAAUAUACUGCGUAGGACUAUUUACGUUCACAAGGACCGAGAAAGUAUUAAUACACCUAUCUAAUAUGGGUCGAAAGGUUGAAGUAAACUGAGAAUCCGUGUAGAAUUAUUUAUAUUUACAAAAGCCACGAAACUAUUAGUAUCCACGUUUAAUAUAGGGUCUAAAGCUGAAGCAAGCUAAGAGUGUAUCGUGUCGUAGGAUUAUUUAUAUUCAGAAUUAUUAACAAAGCGAUAGCAUGAUAAAAACAGUACUCGUGAACUCUAAAAUACUUUAGAUACGUGUUUAUAAACUCGUAUGCCAUUA